CCUACGGGAGGCAGCAGUGAGGAAUAUUGGUCAAUGGGCGAGAGCCUGAACCAGCCAAGUAGCGUGCAGGAUGACGGCCCUAUGGGUUGUAAACUGCUUUUAUAAGGGAAUAAAGUGAGUCUCGUGAGACUUUUUGCAUGUACCUUAUGAAUAAGGACCGGCUAAUUCCGUGCCAGCAGCCGCGGUAAUACGGAAGGUCCGGGCGUUAUCCGGAUUUAUUGGGUUUAAAGGGAGCGUAGGCCGGAGAUUAAGCGUGUUGUGAAAUGUAGACGCUCAACGUCUGCACUGCAGCGCGAACUGGUUUCCUUGAGUACGCACAAAGUGGGCGGAAUUCGUGGUGUAGCGGUGAAAUGCUUAGAUAUCACGAAGAACUCCGAUUGCGAAGGCAGCUCACUGGAGCGCAACUGACGCUGAAGCUCGAAAGUGCGGGUAUCGAACA
rnacentral:rRNA from 1 species